rnacentral:lncRNA from 1 species
AGCUGGGAAAGGUCUUGAUUGGAGCAGGUGGCUGGUACUCAGCAGUCCUGGUUUUUCGUGAAUGGUCUGAUAAGCAAAUAACACAUGAACUACACCUACCAAAGGCUUCUGCGGCGCCAGGCAUUGUGCUCAGCCAUUCAGAGGCAUGGACUCAUUUAAUUCCCUGAACAGCUCUGUGAGCUCAGUACGAGUUCAUAUCCAUGUCACAGAGAAGAAGGACCAAGGCCCUCAGUAGGCCUCGCCAGGGAGAGUGAGUUCUCCGUGGUCACGUGGCCCAUAUGGGGCAGAGGCAGGCUCUUCUGAGGCUUAUUCCAGUCCGAUACUCUUGACCCCUGAGCACAUGGCCUCUUUUGCUGAAAUGUCUCACCAUCUUUGAUUAUCAAGCUAUGCAUUCUAGGCUCACGUCUACAGCUCCUAGAGAGAGUCUUCUCGAGGCACAAUGUCUGACUUCACCAGCUCCCACCACGUCUUUGCCUGCCCUGGACUGAGAAUAUUCUCUCUUCCUCAUGACCUGUGGGUCAUUUGCUGGUCCUCUGGAAGGAAGAAGGCACUCAGUGAGUUGGAUUCUCUCUUCCACACCACAGGAGCCUUGUGGCCUGGAGUUGGCGCGGCCUCCUCUGGAGCUGGUGAUGAGCUUGUAAAAGGGGCUGGACUUGGCCAAGGCAAGUUCAGAGACUCGUUCAGGAAAGACCCUGAGACCCAAGCCAGGUAGAAAGUCAAGCAGAACGUGAGCUCUUUGAAGGUGCGACGCUGCUCUCCCGUGAGGCAAAGAGAAGCUGAGUUCUCUAAAUAAAUGUUGUUUUCACAUCAGACAA